UUUAUAAAAAAAGAAAAAAAAACGAUACAGAUACUGGUCAAUGAACUCACAAGUGUAAGAAGUGUGCUACAUGAGGGGCAAGGCCUUCACUAACACCACAAGGGUCUCUGGCCCAAUGAAUAGAGUUUGAUAGUAAUUCUUGCUACAAAU